CUACUGUGCUUUUCCAGCACCACAGUUUGAAUUUUAACAUGACUCACACAGUUAUUUCACCUGCUCAGGAUCCACUUCAAUCUGAAUAAACUAAAACCAAGAAGCUCAGGGGAAUGUUUGCAAUGGGGUAAUGAAUAGUUGCCAGCAUGUGUCUAAUGCAACAUACAAACCUGUUCGUGCAGGAGACUUUAAGACCUCACCAAAUUAUUUGUUCAAUCUUGGGCUGCCACGUUACACUUGGCUGGUCACCAGCAAGUUCAGUGAAAUUGCC